UACGUAGGGCGCAAGCGUUGUCCGGAAUUAUUGGGCGUAAAGAGCUCGUAGGCGGCUUGUCACGUCGGGUGUGAAAGCCCGGGGCUUAACCCCGGGUCUGCAUUCGAUACGGGCUAGCUAGAGUGUGGUAGGGGAGAUCGGAAUUCCUGGUGUAGCGGUGAAAUGCGCAGAUAUCAGGAGGAACACCGGUGGCGAAGGCGGAUCUCUGGGCCAUUACUGACGCUGAGGUGCGAAAGCGUGGGUAGCAAACAGG
rnacentral:rRNA from 1 species